GAUAAGAACUAAAAUGCCAGAAUGGAGGGACAGUCACAGGUAGUAUGGUCUGGGGCAUCCUUCUGGUGAGAGGGCAGAGCAUUUCCAGAAAUCAAACCCCGUGUGCAAAGAAGCUCACGUACCCUUGAAGGAAGCAAGAGUCAGCAGAAAUAAGGAGAUCCUGAAAUGCCAAUAAACUGCAGAAAAAGAUCAACCCCUAUUUCCUAACCAAGAACAAUGCAUUCACCCUGUGAACCCACAAAGUUCUCAGA